rnacentral:tRNA from 1 species
CGCGGGAUGGAGCAGUUGGUAGCUCGCCAGGCUCAUAACCUGGAGGUCGGAGGUUCGAGUCCCCCUCCCGCAA